rnacentral:sRNA from 1 species
ACACACACAAAAAAAGUCCAAACACAUCGAUCCACUACCAAGAACAAAAAACGUUGGACAAUGGAUAUGAAAAAUUUGGGUUGCGUAAAAUAUCUAUAAUAUUCAAUUUAAUAGUAUGCUUAGGGAUAUCAAAAUGGGUAACCCAACUCAACUUAACUCAUAAUCAAAUGAGUUUAAAUGAGUUGGGUCAACCCAUAACUCAUUUAAUUUAAUGGGCUGAGUUGUUAAAUGGAUUAACCCAUUUAAGUAAUAAUUUAAUUAAUUAUUAUUAUAAAAUAAUAAUAAAUAAUUAUCAUUAUUAAUUCAUUAUCAUCAAACUUAGGAUAUUUACGGAUUCCACUUUUUAUUGGUUUACGUUUUUGGCGGGAAAAUCACGGGUUUACGUUUUUGGCGGAAAAAUUAUAGGUUUACGUUUUUGGCGGAAAAAUUAUAGGUUUACGUUUUUGGCGGGAAAAUUACCGCUUUACGUUUUUGGCGGGAAAAUUACGGAUUUACGUUUUUGACGGGAAAUUCACGGGUUUACGUUUUUGGCGGGAAAAUCACGGAUUUACAUUUUUGGCGGGAAAAUCACGGGUUUAUGUUUUUGGCGGGAAAAUCACGGAUUUACGUUUUUGGCGAGAUAAUCACGGGUUUACGUUUUUGGCGGGCAAAACACGGGUUUACGUUUUUGGCGGGAAAAUCACGGGUUUACGUUUUUGGCGGGAAAAUCACGGGUUUAUGUUUUUGGCGGGAAAAUCACGGAUUUACGUUUUUGGCGGGAAAAUCAUGGGUUUACGUUUCUGGCGGGAAAAUCACGGAUUUAUGUUUUUUGGUGAAAAAAUUACGAGUUUACUUUUUCUCAAUUUCAUCGCUUGUAUAUUUAAGAAAUUUGGAAAAAUAUUAAUUUUAUUAAAUUGGUUUAGAUGUGUUGGUUAAACUUAAAUUGGCAUUGAUUUAGAGAUUUUAGUUGGUUUAAUUCAAUUUUACAAAACUUGAUAGUUUAAUUGGGUAACCCAUUGAAACCAUUAACCAUUACAACCCAACUCAUUUUACUCAUCAAACCAAUUGACUCAUCAAACCAAUUGACUCAUCAACUCAUUUGACCAAUCAACUCAUUUGAGUCAAAAAUUUUAACUCAUUAGGGUUCAUGGGUUGAGUUGAGUUGAGUUGACCCAUGAAUUUUGACCCAUUUUGACACCUCUAAGUAUGCUAUUCAUUUAGACUGGAGUCAGAAAAUUCGAAUAAUCAUAAAUUUAUGGAACAUAU